AGUGAACGCUGGCGGUAGGCCUAACACAUGCAAGUCGAACGGCAGCACAGUAAGAGCUUGCUCUUACGGGUGGCGAGUGGCGGACGGGUGAGGAAUACAUCGGAAUCUAUUUUUUCGUGGGGGAUAACGUAGGGAAACUUACGCUCAUACCGCAUACGACCUACGGGUGAAAGCAGGGGAUCUUCGGACCUUGCGCGAUUGAAUGCGCCGAUGUGGGAUUAGCUAGUUGGCGGGGUAAAGGCCCACCAAGGCGACGAUCCGUAGCUGGUCUGAGAGGAUGAUCAGCCACACUGAAAGUGAGAGACGAUACAGACACCUAGGGGAGGCAGAAGUGGGGAAUGUUGGAAAAAGGGGGCAAGACUGAUCAAGGCAUACCGCGUGGGUGAAGAAGGCCUGCGGGUGGUAAAACCCUUUUGUUGGGAAAGAAAAGCAGCAGGUUAAAACCACGCUGUUCGAACGGAACCCAAAGAAUAAGCACCGGCUAACUUGGU
rnacentral:rRNA from 1 species